UGUCCCCAUUGACCCAAAUGCCACUGUCCCCAUUGUCCCCACUGACCCCAUUGACCCCAAUGACUCCACUGACCCCAGUGCCACUCACCCCAUUGUCCCCAAUGUCCCCAUUGACCCCAUUAAUGCCCCAGUAUGGCCCCAUUGACCCCAGUAUCCCCAUUGUCCCCAGUGUGUCCCCCAUGUCCCUGCUGACCCCGAUACCUCCACUGUCCCCAUUGUCCCCAGUAUGUCCCCAGGGUCCCCACUGACCCCAAUGCGUCCCCAUUGACCCCACUGUGUCCCCAUUGUCCCCACUGACCCCACUGCCAACAAUGGCCCCAAUAUGGCCCCACUGACCCCAUUGUCCCCACUGACCCUAAUGCGUCCCCACUGACCCCAUUGUCCCCAUGGUGUCCCCAGUGCCCCCAAUGUCCCCAGUGCCCCCAUUGUCCCCACUGACCCCAUAGUGUCCCCAGUGCCCCCCCGCCCCCCCCGUCCCCGUGUCACUCACCUUCUGGGGGCCGAUGCCGGGGCACAGGGACAGCUCCUCUCGGGGGGCGCGUGCCACCGCCGCCAGCGACUGCGGGGACAGCCGAGGUGACAGCGUGUCCCCAUGUCCCCAAUGUCCCCAAGUCCCCAUGCCCCAAUGUCCCCAUGUCCCCAUGUCCCCAAUGUCCCCGUGUCCCCAUGCCCCCAUGUCCCCACGUCCCCAGUGUCCCCACAUACCCAUGUCCUCGUGUCCCCAGUGUCCCCAAGGAUGUGUCCCUGCUGUCCCCAGUGUCCCCAUGUCCCCAUGCCCCAGUGCAGUGUCCCCAUGUCCCCAGCCUCCCCAUGGCCCUGCCCCCAAUGUCCCCAUGUCCCCAAUGUCCCCAGUGUCCCCAUGUCCUAGUACAGAGUCCCCAUGUCCCCAACGUCCCCAUGUCCCCAACGUCCCCAUGUCCGCAGCAUCCCCAUGUCCCCAGCGUCCCCAGUGUCCCCAUGCCCCAGUGCAGUGUCCCCAUGUCCCCAGCGUCCCCAUGGACCUGCCCCCAAUGUCCCCAUGUCCCCAGUGUCCCCAUGUCCCCAAUGUCCCCAUGCCCCCACGUCCCCUCCCACGGUCCUGUCCCCAAUGUCCCCACGGCUGCGUCCCCACCGCCCCCAGCGUCCCCUCCCAUGGACGUGUCCCCACUGUCCCCCCACAGAGACACCCCCCCUCCCCGAGGGGGGGGGGGGGGAGGGGGGCCGUGACCCCCACGGUGACACCGCUGUCCCCAUGUCCCCGCGUCCCCUCACCCCGAAGGUGCUGAGCAGGCUGAGCGCGUCCGUGCGGUUCACGGCUUUGACGCUGGUCAGGCACUCCGUCAUCUGCGGGGACACGUGGGGACGCUUGGUGGCACGGGGACACAGAGUGACACCCACGGGAGACAUGGGGACACAGAGUGACACAGAGCGACACUGGGGACACACAGUGACACCCAGUGGGGACACAUGGUGACACUGGGGACACAGAGUGACAGCCACUGAGGACAUGGGGACACACGGUGACACCAGGUGGCAUCCAUGGGGGGCAUGGGGACACAGAGUGACACCCACUGGGGACAGAGAGUGACACCAGGACACCACGUGGCAACUAUGGGGGGCACGGGGACACUGCCCCAUGGGGACAUGGGGACACAGACUGACACCCACUGGGGACAUAGGGACACAAAGUGACACCCCCUGGGGACACAGCGCUGUCCUUUGUGGACACGGGAACAGCGCCCCCUGGUGGCAGCAGCUCUGGGGACCCCUGGGUGGCAGAGUGGGGGACACGUGGGGACAUCUGGGGACACGUGGGGGGACACUGGGGACAUUUGGGGACACGUGGGAACAUUUGGGGACACGUGGGGGACAGGUGAUGACAUCUGGGGACAUGUGGGGACACAUGGGGGGACAUUGGGGACAUGUGGGGACACGUGGGGGUACAUUGGGGGACACAUGGGGACACGUGGGGACACGGGGGGGGACAUUGAGGGCAUGUGGGGACACAUAGGGGGGACAGGUGGGGGGGACACUUGGGGACAGGUGGGGUCCUUUGGGGACACGUGGUGACAUCUGGGGACACUUGGGGACACGGACCCUGGGCAGGGCGCCGCAUUCCACGCGCUCUCGCAGCAGGUCGGGCGGUUUCUGCUCGUAGGCUUUGUAGGUCUCCAGGUAGCGGCCUGCUUCCUCGGCGCUGGGGACACGCGGGGACGGUGGCACUGUCACCUC
ensembl:lncRNA